UUGAGAGAGAUUGGAUGAGUUUAA
rnacentral:miRNA from 1 species